AAUAUCACCAUGACCUGCACAGGCUAAACGCUAAACGUUUUUAUAAACAUGCCUUAGAUAAAAAAAUACAUUAUAGUGUACUUCUUAAGACAAAACGAAGGCAAUGGCGUGUUUUAAAAUCAGUCGGUGCGAGUUGAAAUAGCUCAGAUUUAAGCCUUGUCUGUGAAACUAUGUAAUCUAAACAUCAACACUGAGAUAAAAUGCUGACCCAUAAAGAGGAUAUAAUGACUGUCAAGCUUUGGGAUGUGUUCCAGCUUUAUGCAUUGCUUUAUCAAACGUGGCACCGACACGCUUGGGAUUAUCACCCGUGGUCAGAGGUGUCCCAAACCUGUCCUGUUUGGACUUCCCUAUGCCCUUGACCCCUUGAUCCCUCAAAACUGCUAUGCAUAAGGUUGCAUUCGACUGAGCUGUUCAUCACCAGAACAGACAAGAGACCCGGCGGAGGUUUGAAAGUUUCCCACAUGUCAAAUCAAAACGCGGAGGUGAAUGCAGGUGAUUGAGAUCGUGACGCAAAU